GUAUAAGAGACAGCAGUAGCCACGGUAAUACGUAGGGUGCAAGCGUUAAUCGGAAUUACUGGGCGUAAAGCGUGCGCAGGCGGUUCUAUAAGACAGAUGUGAGAUCCCCGGGCUCAACCUGGGAACUGCAUUUGUGACUGUAGAGCUGGAGUGCGGCAGAGGGGGAUGGAAUUCCGCGUGUAGCAGUGAAAUGCGUAGAUAUGCGGAGGAACACCGAUGGCGAAGGCAAUCCCCUGGGCCUGCACUGACGCUCAUGCACGAAAGCGUGGGGAGCAAACAGGAUUAGAUACCCCAGUAGUCCCUGUCUCUUAUAC
rnacentral:rRNA from 1 species